AGUCUCAUUAGGGGGUUGAAUUUGGUGGCUUGGUGUCCCCCGCUACUGGAGACGGUACCGUGAUGUGAAAGCGGGUAGGCAUCGAAGAUCUUGGGUUGUGUUAUCACAUAGUGUUGAACAAAAUAAUGUUUGAACUGAGCAUAGGCUUUCAUGCCAUGAAACAGGGACAUGGUGGUUUCAUCUAGGGAAGGCUUGAGAGCCAGCAGCUCUUUCAGUUUAUCUGCCAAGGCUUGAGAAUGUGAUGAAAGGAUGGUGGGAUCCAUUUCAGUCACGGUUUUAUCGUGGAGGGACGAAAUUGUCUGGAUGAGCAAUGACACUUGUGUAGUAGUUUUGACAGCCUCCUCAAGUUCUUGCAACUGUGAUUUCCACUUUUGGAAAGUGGUGGCCCGUCCCAAGACUCUCUCUACAUUCAGAGUGGUUAGGGCCGCUUGCAGCGUUCUUUCAGUUGGGGACUGGUUGGCAUUGUCCUCCAAGGCCACUAGCGGAGUCAAGGUUUGUUCCCUGGAUAAAAUUUCAUCCAGCAGCGUCUGAAGAUGUUGCUUGUGUGAUGGAUGGCAGUUAGUGAGGAUUAUUGUGAUUAGCCUGCUUAACCAAUUGAAAUUUUUUAAGCUUUCAGCAUAAGAGAGCUUUUCCAACAAGUGCUUGUCUCUGACUAGAGAGGUGAUGUAGCUGAUGGCAUCGCUAGAGAUGGGAUGUGAUGCAGCAUAAGGGGGUGCCUGUACAAGCAUAUUAUUGACAAUCUUCAGUAGAUGGGUGUUAUAUUCUGUGGUUGACUGAGUUUUCUUUGCCAGGGCCGCAUCUACCAUGCUUGUAAAAACCUUCAUCUCUGUUUGGUAGGAGGCAAUGUAGUGUUUCUCAUUGUUUUUUAUUGACUCCUUGAAGAUAUCAGGUAGGGUGUUUAUUUCAAUGAUUUCUUGUUCUGUAAACAAUUGAGUGAUUUUUUGUAGGUCAGGAUGGGCCUGGGGUUCGAGUAGGGGGUCCGAGGCUAUUUUAUCUAAAAAGGCAUGCACCUCAGUUUUAGUUUUGAUCAGGUGAUCGUUAUACACCGUUAGCAGAGAAUUAAAUAAUUUCUGAUAGAUUGACCAGUCCUUUUCCAGGUGGGUACCUAUUAGAGAUUGUGAUAGGUCUGUAAACUUAACAAGCUUUGUCAGUAAAAGUGUUUUUCUCUCCAGGUCAUCCAACUGUUCGCUGACCCUGGGUAGGUGGAAUGUGCGCAGGUAGUAUUUUACAUUCUGAUCGAAAGUCUCGACCCAGUCACUGUUGGGCGCGACGUAGCGUUGCCCCUGUGGUAACUGAGAUGCUAACAGAGGGGUGAGUAUGGAAUCCACGUAUGCAGUCAACCCCUGCAAAGCUUUCAACAGUUCUCCUCCCAUUUUGGUGAACAGUGCAGAUUUGUGAUCAUUGAAGACUGUAAGGAGUACUUGCCAGUCUCCUGGCGCAAUGUGAUGAAAUGUCAGGUCCCUCAGGUUGGUGAGGAUCUUGUCCCAGGUGGCCUUAAUCUUGAGAUCAAUAGCACGUUCAAUCUCUGCAGUGGAUGGUACAGGUGUGGUUUCUGUCUCCAUUUCCUGCUCCUUGAUGAGGUCAUCUCUGAAAUGUUUGAGCUGGCGCGUAGCAUAUGACCUUGCUGUUUUGGUUGGAGCUUUAUCCAGGAACAGAUUGAGGUCGUCAAUAGAGGCCGGAGUAAAGUCAGCCACGUCCUGCUUCCAGGCUUCUAGUUGUUUGUCAGUUUUGAUUUUUGUGAGGUCACGGACCUCGGAUGUGAUAAUCAAGUAUAUUUUGGUUUUAAAUGAUUUAUCAAAUUUGUAUUGUCUGAUCGAUGAUUUGAUAUACUUGAAGGUUGUGAGGCCCUUUUCCACACACUCCAUAUCAUCACAGUCUACAAGUUCUUCUUGAACGGCCAUGAUGGAUUCCAUGGUUUUUAUCAGGUCUUCUCGUCCAGGGAUGUCAGCUAGUCCCAUCAGACUGUUUAGGGAGUUGAAGAAAGUGUUUGAGAGAUGGUUGUGAGAUCUGGCAUGGAUGCUGCUCAGUGCUUCGUUGAUUAAGGAGUUGGUGAUUUGGAUCAGAGACAGAUUCAUAGCUGCGAGUGAGAGCUGCCCCUGUUCUGUUUUUGUGGCAGCUUGCAGCUGGGGGAUUACUUCUGGUAAGGUCCUGAUGUUUAUUUUCUGUAGCAAUGAUUCUAUGUAGGAUGUUGAUGUUGUCAGGGUCGUGACUUGGGAUUGAAUUUCAACCAGCCUGGGGUCUGAUGCCUGUGCCAAGACAGUAGCAUUUUUUAUGUAAUCUGAUAAGGUAUUUAUGAGGGCAGGUGAGGCGGCCUUGUCCUGUAUUGCCUUGAGCGUCUGGUUAAUUUCACUCAGAAUCUUGUCCAGGGAUUCAGAGUCUGCCAUUUUCUUUUUGAGGUCGUUUAAGUGGCUGGAUGUUUUCUGGAAGAUGUCCAGGACAUGCACUGGUUCCCUGAAUGCACGCUCGGGCCAUGUCUCAUCAAUAAUCUUUGACAGCUCUCUGCCAAUGUAAGACAAUUGUUGUUGACUACUGUCAAUUUCUGGAGUUCUGAUUUCUGCCCUCUCCACACAGGCGUUGAUGACUGUGAGCAAGGUAGUGACAUUUUUCAGUAGCGUCCUCACUGGGGGCACGAAGGUUGUUUCUAUAGCAUUUUCUGAGGGAAUGUUGCUGAUUAAUUCUGAAAGGGUCUCCACGGUGUCCUUUUCGAUGGCCUUGACAGCCUCCUGGAUAGCACUUGAAAGUAGUGGUGUGCGGGUUUCUGUUUCUAGAUAAAUGGGCCCCAGGGAGGCGGGUGGAUCGGUGUUAUUUAAAACUGAAAGCAUCAAAGCCUUGAAUCUGGCAUCCUGCUCACUUGUUAGAGCCAUGUUGUUUGAGACCACCCUUUUUAGGUCCUGUACAGUCGAGACCAGAUUAUUGGCCUCUUCUACCGAGCACACACAAAAAAAAUCUUGGGGGAAGGACUCGGUGAAGGUCGUGAUGAUAUCCUUUAUGUCAAGGCUACUUUUGCUUAUCUCCAGGGCGCGGGUGAGAUUUUUACAGUGGAGUAGGAUUUUUUGGAGGUCCGUCGCGCGGUUAGCGUGCAUGGCGGGUAGGCACGCGCAUACUUUGGCCUGGACAUGGUCUGCGAGGUUUGGGUCUGAUAUGAGAUUAUUUUUUAGCAGGGUGAACAGUUUUUCAAUUUGGAGGUUUGAAUUAAUUAACAGUUUGAUAUCAUCAUUUUUAAUUUGUAGCUGCUUGGACCACGCCAUUAGAUAAUUCAGAACAUUCAAGGCCUCGGUGGGAGUGUAGUCGCUGUCUGAAACCACUCCAAUCUCUAGUACCUGUUGGAGGACAUUCUUGAGCUGAUGGAGAGCCCUGGUCAGGCGAUAUGAUUCUCCAGUAUCAGUGUCUACUAAUGCGGGGAAUGAUGGCACAUGGCCAGGCAGAGUCAGGGAAUUUAAAAGCUGGUCCACGGCAGCCAGGUUGGGGAGGGUGACGCUUGGGAGGGACGUCCCAGACCUGUCUGGCUCGGCCUCCCUGUCGCCCUCGCUCUCGUCCUCCAUAUCAUCGUCCCCAGUAAGAUCGAUGACGUCAUCGUCCAUCGUUAAGUCAAUUAUGUCUGGAGAGGGUAGAGGGUGUGUCAUUUUCUCUGGAGGGGUGCGCCCAGAUUCUUUCCUCUUUUUGUUGGCAUCAGUCCACUCCUCCCCACAGCUCAUAGGAUACCUCUUCCUCUUUGCCUUUGACAUGUAUUUCAAGAGGGAGCCCACUUCUGGGUCAGGCGACGAUGACGCCUGUGGUGACGAACAGAAACUCUGGUUGGUGGUUGGUAGGUCAUAUUCUUCCAAGAUUAUUUUUGAACCAUGUAAAUCAGAAAAGGAGAUGACUUUAUAGUGAGACAUGAUGUAAUUUUUGGGAGAAAUGUGUCCUGGUACAAAAUAUAGGAAGCACGCAGUAUAUUCGCGGGACACGCCCCCGACAUAUUUUAUCAGAGCAUCUGGAUCAGACGUGCUGAGUACGUGGGCUGGACUCUCAGGAAUGUCCUUUAGACAGUGUGGAUCAAACAUGGUGUACCUGCCCCCCUGGAUGAUUAUGGCCCCAGAUUUUUGUCCACAGAUGUACAAAAUAUACUGGAUAGUGUUUGAAUAAUUGGCCGUCAGCAGGUCACGCAGGGACGUGAUGCAGGAGUCAGAAAUGUCAGCUGGCAUGCCAAGCAGGCCAAACAUUUCAGCAGAGGUAUAGAUGAACCCAGACCACUUUCUUGUUUGGACAUAGCAAGGCACGUGGUCCAGCUGGGCAUAUUGGCCAGGAGAUAAGAGGCCCAAUUUUCUCAGAUUGCUGUCUAACUCUGCCCCAAACUUUAAAACUUUAUUAAGGUCGUGGGUCUCGGUUAUGGGGGCUUCAUUGUUGAAGUAGGAAGACAUCAGGUAUAUGAUACAGUUGCUAAGACACUGAGCCCCUGCAUUUUCUCCAAAUUUACAAUCUGCCUGAUUGGUUGAGGCUGUACCUUCGAUGCGAAACCCAGCCAAAGAAGCAGGCAGGGCCAUUAUGAUAGCAGUUUUAUUAUGUCAUGAAUUUUUACAAUAGUGUAGGGGCACUCUGCGUGCUCGGCGGUGUAGGUUUGUUGUGUAAAUAUUUGCCAGUUAACAUCCAGGGGUAUUCUGUCAUAAGUGCUGGAAUAUUUUUUCAGUUGGGGUGGAUGUUUCUCACCACGGGCAGCGUUUUGGCUAAAAAUCUGGGGGUAGGUAGAAUAUAGCAUGGUUAGGUCUUCAUCUGUGGGGUUUCCCCCAGCCUGGGUCAUUGACGUGUCUGUGGGUGGAGCCAUCAGAUUUACUGGAAUUUCUUUAAGAUUUUUGAUAAUUUCCACAUUUCCAGCCGAUGCCGCCUUUAAGAUUGUGGGGGUAAUGAUUUCCUGGGAAAACAGGUCAUGAAACCUUUUUCUUAAGCAACUUGAACAUCCUUUCGAGAGAAGGGAUAGUCCAGAGCUAAUUCUGGAGAGUAUGCCACUGAAGGACUGUUUGAGUUGGUUCCAAGGUUCGGUGUCAAAUUCUAUCCCCAACUCAUGCUGUUUAUAUGCCUCUAGGUCUUGAAGAAGUGAGAGCACCGUGCUGUAUUCCCCCCUGAGUUCACCCUCCAGAUCUGUUAUCUCCAUCAGGAGCUGACUGUGAUCCUUUUCCACCUGGCUAAUCAGACUCUUGAGGGUCUCCAAGUGAACUUCCAGAAUCUGUCCACUGGAGGACAGUAUGGUGAAUUGAUGGGUUAGGGGGUGAUAGUUAUAUUUGGUGUGACAUAAAAUUGAGCCCAGACGUAAGAUGUUUCUGCCCCUCAACAAAAGGUGUUCGACCUUGGGGAUGAUGGCCGUGAUAUAAUCUACAGAAUUGAUAUAGGAUGCGCCAGUGUCUAGUACAAAUAAGUAGAGGAUUAGAUCCUGGGGUAUAGAAAAUGUCUGGUUAAUUUUGUUGAUCUUUUUCUUUAGAUCCAGGGCAUGGUCCAAGAGAUUCUUCAUGGCAGAAGGUUUAUUGGUCCCGUUGAUGAUGUCGAGCAGCUCAAAGUAGAACAUGCCCAGCGGUCUGCGGAUCUCCUGCAGCUGGGGCGUGUCGGUGAUAGCGAAGCUCAGCAGCCAUCUUAUUUGGAAGAGGGCCCGGUUUCUUGACGUCUUUCUGGAAAAUAUCCCCUGUAUGGUGGGACCAACGAUGUGUCUGAUGAAGUACUUGUAAAACAUUUUAUGGGAGACCAUGGCAGGCUCGUAGGAUAAGUCCCCGACAGGCAUUCUUUUACAGUAGGCCGCGACCCUCUCUUCGGAAACCUGGUGCUCGCAAGAGGGUUCCAUCAGUGGAUUCUGGGUGAUGAGGACAAUGCCCCAAUUCCUGUUUACCCAUGAAAAAAAUAAAGUUCUCAUGAUAUCUGA
rnacentral:lncRNA from 1 species